CUCGAGUAGGGCCCAAGCCAGCCAGGAAGGAGGAGGCAGCCAGAGUGGCCACCACUGUUCUCUGCAGCAGAAGACCCCUUGCUGCCAGACUUCAGUGGCAGAGCACCCAUAACCUUCAUUCUUCUGCUGUUGGCCUUAACUGAUGACGAUGACAUCAUCAUCAAGUUUGCGUGGCUUCUGGGACAAGAUUUGCUUCCCUGUGUUUGUAUUAGCUAGCUGCAGAAGGUUUUGGAAGGAAGCAACUUAAGCUGGCAAAAUGAUGUGGGGAAAACAGGCUCCUCCUCGCUCCAUGCUGUGGCCAUGAUUUAGUCACAGAACGCACAGCUGGUGUUUGGAAAGGAAAAAGAUUGUGAGAGUUGCAGUUAUGGAAACCCCAUCCACACAAGAUCUAGUUUGGCCCUUGUAUCCAGAACAGAGGAGACCCAGAUAAUAUAUAUAGUCCAAUGUAAAAGACCUAGGAUGAACUAGUCUGCAAUUAAGGCCUUCUGGAACCCUUGCUAAGUUCAGGAAAUGGCUCCAUCAUAACUGCAAGAGCUGACUGUAUUACUUGCCAAACUUCAGGCCUCUCUCUCAAGUAUUCCUCCCAAGAGUGCUACACUGAGCCUUCUUUCUCCCAGCACUGCUGCAGCUCCGGUCAAGCUAACCCACUGACCAGAUGGAAAUGAUUUGGCUCAUGCAAUUUGCUGAUCAUUGCCUUAAUGGCGGUGGCUGAUCCAGCGAGGUCACCCAGAAGACACUGUAUCUCUCCUCUUUAAGUACACUAAUAUUUUUCUGGUGA